CCUACGGGUGACAGCAGUAGGGAAUAUUGCUCAAUGGGGGAAACCCUGAAGCAGCAACGUCGCGUGGAGGAUGAAGGUUUUCGGAGUGUAAACUCCUUUUGUUAGAGAAGAUAAUGACGGUAUCUAACGAAUAAGCACCGGAUAACUCCGUGCCAGCAGCCGCGGGAAUACGGAGGGUGCAAGCGUUACACGGAAUCACUGGGCGUAAAGAGCGCGUAGGCGGGUUAGCAAGUCAGAUGUGAAAUUCUAUGGCUUAACCAUAGAACUGCAUUUGAAACUGUUAGUCUAGAGUAUGGGUGAGGUAGGUGGAAUUCUUGGUGUAGGGGUAAAAUCCGUAGAGAUCAAGAAGAAGACUCAUUGCGAAGGCGACCUGCUAGAACAUAACUGACGCUGAUGCGCGAAAGCGUGGGGAGCAAACAGGAUUAGAUACCCUUGUAGUC
rnacentral:rRNA from 1 species